rnacentral:rRNA from 1 species
UGGGGAAUUUUGGACAAUGGGCGAAAGCCUGAUCCAGCCAUGCCGCGUGAGUGAAGAAGGCCUUCGGGUUGUAAAGCUCUUUUAGUCGGAAAGAAAGAGUUGCAAUGAAUAAUUGUGAUUUAUGACGGUACCGACAGAAAAAGCACCGGCUAACUACGUGCCAGCAGCCGCGGUAAUACGUAGGGUGCGAGCGUUAAUCGGAAUUACUGGGCGUAAAGCGUGCGCAGGCGGUUUUGUAAGACAGAGGUGAAAUCCCCGGGCUCAACCUGGGAACUGCCUUUGUGACUGCAAGGCUGGAGUGCGGCAGAGGGGGAUGGAAUUCCGCGUGUAACAGUGAAAUGCGUAGAUAUGCGGAGGAACACCGAUGGCGAAGGCAAUCCCCUGGGCCUGCACUGACGCUCAUGCACGAAAGCGUGGGGAGCAAACA